CAGAUUUGACAGCGAAACUUAAGUUAAUGGAGGCGGGAGGCGAAACGUCGGCGGAGCCAGUCGUGGCGGCCGACCACCACAUCUACUGCAACAUUCACGUGGGCAAGAGGCGUUACUCGGUCCGAAUUCAAUCAAGAAAGGUUUAGGCAAUGUGUACACGCAGGAGAAG